AGAAUCCGUAUUAGAAGGAGCAUGUAGGAGGACUCUGUGACCUUGAAGGAAUACACCUCCUACGUCCUCCAUAGACCAUCAGGAGUAGAUGAUAUUGAUUCACAGUGUUACCGAACCCAUUUCACGACCUUGUGGCCCAGUCACAAUUGCACUGCUCAUAGAAGACCCUGGUAUUGCCUGAUUUGCCACCAGUUUUAAAAGCACAGUUAUAGAC